UGGUUCUGGCAUCGAUGAAGAACGCAGCGAAAUGCGAUAAGUAAUGUGAAUUGCAGAAUUUAGUGAAUCAUCGAAUCUUUGAACGCACAUUGCGCCCUUUGGUAUUCCGAGGGGCAUGCCUGUUCGAGCGUCAUUUCAACCCUCAAGCACUGCUUGGUAUUGGGCCUGGCUCUUGUUAGCCGGCCUUAAAAACAGUGGCGGUGCCAGCUGGCUCUAAGCGUAGUAAAUACCUCGCUCUUGAGUUCAGUGAGCUCUUGCCAUCAAGCCCAAAUUUUCUUAUGGUUGACCUCGGAUCAGGUAGGGAUACCCGCUGA
rnacentral:misc_RNA from 1 species